GAUGAAGAACGCAGCGAAAUGCGAUAAGUAAUGUGAAUUGCAGAAUUCAGUGAAUCAUCGAAUCUUUGAACGCACAUUGCGCCCCCUGGUAUUCCGGGGGGCAUGCCUGUCCGAGCGUCAUUACAACCCUCAAGCUCAGCUUGGUAUUGGGCCCCGCCGACCCGGCGGGCCCUAAAGUCAGUGGCGGUGCCGUCCGGCUCCGAGCGUAGUAAUUCUUCUCGCUCUGGAGGUCCGGUCGUGUGCUCGCCAGCAACCCCCAAUUUUUUUCGGGUUGACGUCGGAUCAGGUAGGGAUACCCGCUGAACUUAAGCAUAUCAAUAAGCGGAGGA
rnacentral:misc_RNA from 1 species